rnacentral:lncRNA from 1 species
AGUUGGAUAAAUGGAAACCAUUUCGGUUAGUAAUAACAAACCAUAUUUUUCUCACUUAAUGAAUAUUUACUGAGAAUUUACUUUUAGAAACUCUGUUAGGUGCCAGGAAUGCUGAUUCAUAAGCUAGCGCUCCAAGUCCUCAGAGCCCACCCUAAUUUGAUCCUAACCUGCCUUUCCAGCCUCAUCUUGAGUCACAUCUUGGCACAUGCCCUUACCUACCAACCAUCCUAACAAGCCAUAUGCUCUCAUUCUUGUUUUUCUUUCUGCCUUUGCAUGUGCUGUCUUCUCUAUCUGGAGUGCUCUUCUCCCUCUUUUAGCUGCUGAACUAAAAGCUCUUUCAAGAGGCUUUAAAAGCUUCCCCGAUUUUUAUGGCCAAGCUGGUCAAUCACACUUUUUUUGCUAUGAUGAUUGGUUUGUACCUCUGUUGUAAAGUGUUUAUACCGUAUCAUAAUUAUUCAUAUUCCUGACUGACUCACAUGCAUGAUCCUUGGAGGUAGGGAUCUUGACUUACUCAAGGGAGUAUUCCCUAGUCUAGUACAUAACGGAUGACUGAUGUACUUCAGUUGACUAAACUCAACCCUGAGUCAGAAAGAAAGGAAAGGAGUUCCCUGGUGUCUCAGUGGGUUAAGGAGCAAGUUGUCACUGCUGUGGCCAGGUUCAACCCCUGGCCCAGGAACUUCUGCAUACCACGACUUCAGCCAAAUAAAUAAAUAAAAGAUUAAAGGGCCCAGAAAACUUGUAGCCCAGUGUUACUGAAAGCAAACCAUGAAUGUAUAACUUAGUUACCAUUAGACAUAGGAGCCCAAACUUGUUGCUGGUCCUUUGUGUUAUUAUGGUUGUUGGACACAUCUCGUUUUACUUAACAAGCCCUUUAGAGCAACUGUUUCUAUGCUUGUCUUCUCCAGGGAGGAAGAAAGCAAAGAGUGCUAAUACCCAUAACUGCAGACCUUCAGAGACGUCUUCACCGCCAAAGUGAUUCAGGGAAUUAAAGCACUUCUCCAGGUCCCCCGCUAAACUUGGAUUUGACAGCCAGUAGCAAAUGUUUAUGGAAUUUACAUAACAAUGACCACAUUGCAUAACAAUUUUUCAAAGCACUUUUACAAAGGCUAUUCCUCUCAAUCAUCAUGAAAGUCAGUUGCCCUCACUUUAUAGCUGGGAAAAUUGAGGUUCAGAAAUGUGUUCAAAGUUACUAAGCUGGUAAGUAGUAGAAUCAAGAUCCAAGACACAGAUCUGACUCCAAAUCUCUUGUUCUUCCCAAUUUACCAGGCUGUUCUUGGAGGAUAGGACAUGUAUUUUAUUUUUGUGUGUAUCCAGAGGAGUGCAAUAUUCUCCUUGGAUGGAUGUGCUCAUCACUAAAAAUUCAAAGACGUCACCAGCACCUAGCACAACACCUGGUACCUAGAGGGUGCUUAACAAAUCCUUUUGCAUAAAGAAAUGUUCCCCAGCAAGCUCAGGAUCUACGUACACGACCAAAGUAACACCCAGCUGUGUUCUUUCUUUCACCUAAUCUUCACAUCCAUCCAUUAUCUUUUUUGACAUGUGGGAACACUGAGCAUCAGUGGAAUUUAAUACCUCUGCCAUGGUGAUGUUUGGAUUUAAACCCAGGUUUCCUAUUUAAAAUACUAAGUUGAUGCACCGUCUAGAAAGAGCUGUGUUAAAAUAAGAAGAGUCCAGAUCUGGAGUCAAAAGACCUGAGUGAGUCCUACCCCAGCCCUGCACGAACUGUACGGCCUUGGAGGAGUCAGCCUCUAGGACUUAGUGUUCCCCAUAUAAAAUGAGAAGAUUAAUACCGACCCUGCUGACCCAAACAAGGUUGUUGUGAGGAUAGUGAAUAAGUGCAAGAAUAAGUGUGAGAAGGACUAAUUCGAGGUAUUGACUUGGGCCUCCUUUUGAAAGGGUUGUGGCUUACCUGGCUGUCCCCUCCCGAGUACCAGGGCAGUGCUUGUGGACAUCACCUGGAUGGAUAAUUGCCCAUGGAUAAUUAUUGACUCCUCAUGUUGGAACAUGUUAAUUAUAUUUAUUCAGCUUUAGGAAAAUAUGCGUGCAUGCAUGCAUGUGUGUGUGUGUGUGUACAUGCAUGUGCUCGUGUGCGCGUGCACGAAAGCACACACCUCCACUUUGAAGGGUGCAGUAGAAAAAGCAUGAAUUUGGACUCCGACGGAGCUGCCUUUAAAUCAGUCCUGUAUUCAUUAGCUCUAUAAUUUUGGACACGUUUUUGUCACAUUGAACAUCAAUUUUCUAAUCUGUAAGAUGCAGAUAAUAGGUUGUUAUGAGAAUGAAAGAAGACUAAAUGCUUCUAGGAUGAUCUGAGCUUAUUACUCCAUACACAGUAGCUUUACUAUCAUCAGUAUUAUUAUUCACAAAUAAUACGCAUUCUGGUUCUGGUAUUGACUCUGAUCCCUCCUCAAUAGAAAACCACCCCGUUCCGAUCCCCUGUCUUGUCAUCGUGUUUACACAUUCCCUUCUAAUUCUCUUCUCUAUCCCAUAUGGGUUAGAUUUGAAAAUGUGAUCCCCUGGGUGCUGGAUCUUUAAAAUUAUUUCAGAGAAUUAUCAGAUUGUCUGCAGUUUUUCCAAGAGUUUAAAUCUUUAUCCGUUGUGUGCUGUAAUUCUAAUUCUUGCAGUGGCCGAUUUACUAUUCUCUAAUUUUCAUCAGUAAGGAAAAACUUCCAGAGUAAAACACUAUUCCAAAAGAAUCAAAAGCAUAUGAAUUGCUACCCCCAAAGUUAUCACUGCUAAGUUACUUGUUGUGGCCCUAUGAGACAACUCCCUAUAGCAAGAGCAUCCUGGGAUUUUAUUCUCCUGUGACUAUAAUGGGCUACUCAAUAUUACAUUAACUGUAAAGAGCUGUACAAAUAUUAGUAUUAGAUGAUUACUAAGUUAUGGAUUAAAAACUGAGAAAACUAAUAUUUUACAAAUCCUUGUUAAAGCCGCUGAAACUCAUCGAAAUUUGAAUAGCCUUAUUCACAGGCAAAAUUGAAAAAAGGAACUUCCAAGAUAUGCAUCCCAUCUUGCCCACCACUACUAGAUAGUUUUCCUUUUGUUAUGUCUUCUCACUACUCAAAAAUAUUCCAUUGUAUGUUACCUCCUUGAAAUUAUCCAAACUCAUUAUUCUGGGAGGGCUUUCAUAACUUUUUCCAGUAUUCCUUCCCAGCCCUACUUCCUGCUACUUACUCCUCUCCUUCUCCUUCCACCCCACGUGAUUCUUGGUGUUCCAACAAACUGUUAUAGUCACUGUUCAUAAAUUAUUCCAUGUGCUUUCCUAUUUCCUUGCCCUUGAUUAAGCCAUUCUACUGUUCACAUUCUCUUCACCUCUAUCUGUCCAUCCAGCUCUAGACCUUCUCCAAAGCCAAGCUCAGUAUAUACUUUCCCAUAGAGAUGACACGUGCCCCUCAAUUCUGAAAUUACCAAUCAUCAGCACACUCAUUUGACAGUUGUCUAUAUAACCCAUGUAGUUGACCAGUGGUUUCACAGAGGUUUUCUCACUUAGUAAAAAUGGUAGUUGCCUCCAGUGAUAGCUGGAACAUUCCUAUGGGCUAGGUGCUCUGCUGAGUGCUCAUGAAUAUCAUGUUUAAUCCUCAUAGUCACCUGAGGUAGGAGAUCCCCCUUUUACAGAUGAAGAAUUGGAGGUACAGAAUGGUUUUGUAAGUCACCCAAAGUCAUAGAGUUAACAAAUGGCAGAGUGGAGGCUCACGCUCAUGUCUGAUUAAAUCCAAGAGCCAACCUCUUAGCACCACACACACUGUUUGCAUUUUACAAUGUAGCACAAAGAGGUUAAGUGGUACAACCAAAGCUGGUGAGUGACAGCCAUCCUCCCAGCCGAUUCAGUCUAAGUCCAGAGAGCUUUCCAAUAUGCCAGAUAUAUGAUAUUGCCUCUUACUGUAUUUAACUUUCACUGUGUUAUUUAACCUAACAAAAGAAUUGUCUACUCAGCUCAAGAUUUCUAAAGACAAUGAUUAGAUAACUGAGGGGUGGGGCAUCAGAUCGACAGUUAAGUACCAACAAUGGGGCUGAUGAUGUAUGUUGUGGGAGGAAGUGGGCUGAUGUGGGGUGCACUGAUCAUCUCCUUAGUCAGCCUUUGGGGAAAACAUCAUGGACUUCUCUUCGAAGACUGAUUACCUUGGUACUAAAAAGACCCGCUUUUGUUUGUGUGAUCGUUGAAAGCCAGGGCAGUCUUUGCCGUGACUUCUUUUUGUUCAGCUAAUGUCAAGGUUGCUCUGCCUAGUCUCUGGGACUGUCCAGGGAAGAAGGUCAGGGGGAGCCAAUGUCUGUUAAAGUGAAAAAAACUGAAGUUCCAGCGAAAGCAUCAAAGGGUUCCCAUUCUUUACAAUGCAAGAACAGAUGCUCAGCAGCAGGUAUAUGUAGAAUGAAAGCAGCAGCAAUAUUAACAGUAAUAAACAUUUUAUGUGCCUGCAGCUACUGUAAGAGGACAUUCUAAUGUAAAUGGCUUGCAAUGCCCACGUGGGGUAUGCUGGGGCCAUGCCUUUCACAUGUGUCUCGCAUAUGGUGCCCAUAAGUGCAGUAUGAGAGAUGGAAAUACAAUAAAAUCUCCUUCACUCUUCUGGGUGAGGGAGGUUGGUGUGGAGGAAGUAUUACAAACAGUGGCCGCAUGUAAAUUGAGGGAAAUUUGUAAAUGACUUUGCACAUAGUUUAUUGUAGUGUAGUAGCCUUGAUAAUUAUCAAGCACAGUGCCUGCAUUGAACGACCUGAUCAUUGUGCAGUUUCCAUUUCAGUAAUAGUAUCUUACAAUUAUACAGUGCUGUAUAAACAUGCAUUACAGCACCAGCUGAGUCUCUCUUCCUGAUUCACCUACAUCUGUCCAUCUGCUAAACUUCUGCUCAACGUCUGAUUCUGGGGAAUAGCAUGUAGGAGCUCGUUAUUGCCUCACACCUACCCCAUAUUCUCCCCAGACUUUUAUCUGUCAUAAAACUAACAUUUUGAUCUCUGACUGCUCAACUCCUUUGCCUGCCUCCACUGGUUUAGAACUCAGGUAGGGAGAGGAGAGGUCCUCAAAUGCCAAGGUGAAGGGUAAUGGCAUACAUGGUGAGUGCCUAGCACAGCUCCUGCACUAAAGGGAGCUACUCUUACCUGGAGUGAUUUGGGAUGUGAAAGACUUGUUCCCACUUGAUCAUCCCUAAAUAUGGAGCUAAGAAGACCCAGCAGGUGAACUUGGAAGAUCUGAAAAGCAAGAGGCUCCAGGACCCCAGAGAGACUUCUGGAAGGGAAUCAGCCUUGCCACCCUGAGCUGAGGACUGUCACUGGGAGCCAUAAACAAUAUGUCAUUGGAAGAGGGAAGAUUGUUGUGAUGUGAUUAUGAUUAUUCCUCUACAUCCCAACAUACAUCGCCACACUGUCCUACUGCUAUCACAUAGCCACACACACACACACACACACACACACACACACACACACAAAUGUGAGCUCUAUGAUGGCAGAGUCCUUGUCGGUGUUGGUCAUCCUGUAUCUCAAGAGUCUAAAACUGUGUCCAGAGCACUUAAGGCAUGGAGAGGGUACAUUCAUCGAAUUAAUUCAGUUGUCAACACAUAAUUCUGCAAACAUGCGUUAAGUGCUUCCUAUGUGCUGGGCACUACAGUGGGCCUUCUUAGGUGUAGUGAGUUGGGAAGAGGGCAGGGUUCUGAAACUGCCCCUGCUUUAUGAGCCUCAGUAGCGGAGGCAACUCCCCGGGGCUCCGUCCCCUCACCUACACAAACUGGAUUGGCUGCAUGGCUCCCCCAUCCAUCCAUGGCCACCGUCCUGAGCAAAUGGCCGCAGGAAAACAACCCAGUUCUUCAGGGAACCCUUCUUCACCCUGAGCAUUGGGCAGCCAGGAAGCUGUUUGUUUAGCCAAUGAUGUUUGGUGGCUCACACCCCAGAGGAAGGAAUGUGUUUCUGGACCAUGGCAAGUGAGGUCUUCCUCUAUGCCUCUGGGAUUUUUUUUUUUUUUUUCACUUUUCCGAGCUCCAAGCUUCUCUGGGGUUUGAGAAACUAUUGUUUUUCUUCAACAUGUGCUGCAUAGGGGUGGCUCCAAGCCUGGCAGAAAUUUGUCUUUAUUUAAUUAUUUACCCAGCAUCUUCUGUUUGGGAACUGCCUUGGGAGCAGGCAGUACCAAAUGCCAGAAUGCUUAAGGGGCACCUGUCAAACUGCGCCUCCAGGAGGCCUCUUGGAUAGGCUUAAAACCAAUGACACCCAUCUGCACAGUACCUCAAAGCGUUCUUGCAAAGUUAAUUCUGAGCUGGGUGGCAUCAACUUUCACAUAGCUGAUGAGAAUAUCAACCAUAACUUCAGAAGGCAAAAAAAAAAAAA